CACGGGGGGUGCAAACGUUGUUCGGAAUUACUGGGCGUAAAGCGCACGUAGGCGGCAUCGUAAGUCCGAUGUGAAAGCCCCAGGCUCAACCUGGGAAGUGCAUUGGAUACUGCGGAGCUUGAAUCUGGAAGAGGGUCGCGGAAUUCCCGGUGUAGAGGUGAAAUUCGUAGAUAUCGGGAGGAACACCAGUGGCGAAGGCGGCGACCUGGGCCAAGAUUGACGCUGAGGUGCGAAAGCGUGGGGAGCAAACAGG
rnacentral:rRNA from 1 species